rnacentral:rRNA from 1 species
GACGAACGCUGGCGGCGUGCCUAAUACAUGCAAGUCGAGCGAACAGACGAGGACUUUGCUCCCCUGACGUUAUCGGCGGACGGGUGAGUCACAUGUGGAUAACCUACCUAAAAGACUGGGAUAACUUCGGGAAACCGGAUCUUAUACCGGAAAAUUUAUUGAACCGCAUGGUUCACUAGUGAAAUACGGUUUUGCUGUCACUAAUAGAUGGAUCCGCGCCGCAUCAGCUAGUUGGUAAGGUAACGGCUUACCAAGGCAACGAUGCGUAGCCGCCCUGAGCGGGUGAUCGGCCACACUGGAACUGAGACACGGUCCAGACUCCUACGGGAGGCAGCAGUAGGGAAUCUUCCGCAAUGGGCGAAAGCCUAACGGAGCAACACCGCGUGAGGGAUGAAGGUCUUCGGAUCGUAAAACUCUGUUAUUAGGGAAGAAGAAAUGUGUAAGUAACUGUGCACGUCUUGACGGUACCUAAUCAGAAAGCCACGGCUAACUACGUG